AAAGUUCCACAAUGAUCUUGAUAUAAUGAUUCUUAUAUUUCAUUGCCUUCAAUUAUUGUAUGCCUGUUUUUUAAUGAAACUGUUAACAAUUAUAGCCUGUUGAAGAUGAGAGAUGUUUUAGUUUUCCAUGACUUCCAAAUUGGUUUCUUAUUUGUUGUUUAAACUGCUUUAAUUCCAAAUAUUACUUUUAUCUCUGAACCUUAUAUUAUGGCUAUGCACGUCUGUGCAUCUCUUUGUUUGUCAUGCCCAAUCAUCGAUAAUGGUUAAUAAUGGAGAAAUUACUGGGUUAUUCCUCUGCGACUGGAUUUGAAUCAUGGAAAUAGUCUCUAUGCAAAAAAAGCAUGGGGAAGGCUGUGUACAAUGGAUGAUCCUCGCUUGACACUCAUAACUUGAGGAGUUUUAUGCAGUAGCAACCUCCAUUUAUUCAUAAUGUUGUUUUAAUGCAUAAGGGUAAUAUCUAUGAGUUCACUGAUGACUUUCAUAACCUAGGCCCUAUCAAUGUUGAUGUUAGAUGUUGUUUCAG
rnacentral:misc_RNA from 1 species